GACGAACGCUGGCGGCGUGCUUAACACAUGCAAGUCGAACGGAAAGGCCCCUUUGGGGGUCCUCGAGUGGCGAACGGGUGCGUAACACGUGAGUAACCUGCCCUUUACUCCGUGAUAACUUCAGGAAACUGGGGCUAAUACCGGUUAUGAAUCCUUCCUGCUUGGUGGGGGUUGGAAAGCUUUGGCGGCUUUGGAUGGACUCGCGGCCUAUCGGCUUGUUGGUGGGGUAGUGGCUUACCAAGGCUUGGACGGGUAGCCGGCCUGAGGGGGCGACAGGCCACAUUGAGACUGAGAGACGGCACAGACGCCGACGGGAGGCAGCAGUGGGGAAGAUUGCACAAGGGGCGGAAGCCUGAUGCAGCAACGCCGCGGGCGGGAUGACGGCUUUCGGGUUGUAGACCGGUUUCAGCAGGGGCGAAGCUUGUGGUGACGGUACCUGCAGAAGAAGCACCGGCUAACUACGUG
rnacentral:rRNA from 1 species